rnacentral:rRNA from 1 species
UAGGGAAUCUUCGGCAAUGGGGGCAACCCUGACCGAGCAACGCCGCGUGAGUGAAGAAGGUUUUCGGAUCGUAAAGCUCUGUUGUAAGAGAAGAACGUGUGUGAGAGUGGAAAGUUCACACAGUGACGGUAACUUACCAGAAAGGGACGGCUAACUACGUGCCAGCAGCCGCGGUAAUACGUAGGUCCCGAGCGUUGUCCGGAUUUAUUGUGCGUAAAGCGAGCGCAGGCGGUUUAAUUAGUCUGAAGUUAAAGGCAGUGGCUUAACCAUUGUUUGCUUUGGAAACUGUUAAACUUGAGUGCAGAAGGGGAGAGUGGAAUUCCAUGUGUAGCGGUGAAAUGCGUAGAUAUAUGGAGGAACACCGGUGGCGAAAGCGGCUCUCUGGUCUGUAACUGACGCUGAGGCUCGAAAGCGUGGGGAGCAAACAGG